CGAGCGGACAGAUGGGAGCUUGCUCCCUGAUGUUAGCGGCGGACGGGUGAGUAACACGUGGGUAACCUGCCUGUAAGACUGGGAUAACUCCGGGAAACCGGGGCUAAUACCGGAUGGUUGUUUGAACCGCAUGGUUCAAACAUAAAAGGUGGCUUCGGCUACCACUUACAGAUGGACCCGCGGCGCAUUAGCUAGUUGGUGAGGUAACGGCUCACCAAGGCGACGAUGCGUAGCCGACCUGAGAGGGUGAUCGGCCACACUGGGACUGAGACACGGCCCAGACUCCUACGGGAGGCAGCAGUAGGGAAUCUUCCGCAAUGGACGAAAGUCUGACGGAGCAACGCCGCGUGAGUGAUGAAGGUUUUCGGAUCGUAAAGCUCUGUUGUUAGGGAAGAACAAGUACCGUUCGAAUAGGGCGGUACCUUGACGGUACCUAACCAGAAAGCCACGGCUAACUACGUGCCAGCAGCCGCGGUAAUACGUAGGUGGCAAGCGUUGUCCGGAAUUAUUGGGCGUAAAGGGCUCGCAGGCGGUUUCUUAAGUCUGAUGUGAAAGCCCCCGGCUCAACCGGGGAGGGUCAUUGGAAACUGGGGAACUUGAGUGCAGAAGAGGAGAGUGGAAUUCCACGUGUAGCGGUGAAAUGCGUAGAGAUGUGGAGGAACACCAGUGGCGAAGGCGACUCUCUGGUCUGUAACUGACGCUGAGGAGCGAAAGCGUGGGGAGCGAACAGGAUUAGAUACCCUGGUAGUCCACGCCGUAAACGAUGAGUGCUAAGUGUUAGGGGGUUUCCGCCCCUUAGUGCUGCAGCUAACGCAUUAAGCACUCCGCCUGGGGAGUACGGUCGCAAGACUGAAACUCAAAGGAAUUGACGGGGGCCCGCACAAGCGGUGGAGCAUGUGGUUUAAUUCGAAGCAACGCGAAGAACCUUACCAGGUCUUGACAUCCUCUGACAAUCCUAGAGAUAGGACGUCCCCUUCGGGGGCAGAGUGACAGGUGGUGCAUGGUUGUCGUCAGCUCGUGUCGUGAGAUGUUGGGUUAAGUCCCGCAACGAGCGCAACCCUUGAUCUUAGUUGCCAGCAUUCAGUUGGGCACUCUAAGGUGACUGCCGGUGACAAACCGGAGGAAGGUGGGGAUGACGUCAAAUCAUCAUGCCCCUUAUGACCUGGGCUACACACGUGCUACAAUGGACAGAACAAAGGGCAGCGAAACCGCGAGGUUAAGCCAAUCCCACAAAUCUGUUCUCAGUUCGGAUCGCAGU
rnacentral:rRNA from 1 species